rnacentral:rRNA from 1 species
ACGGGAGGCAGCAGUGGGGAAUCUUGCGCAAUGGGCGAAAGCCUGACGCAGCGACGCCGUGUGCGGGAAGAAGGCCUUCGGGUUGUAAACCGCUUUCAGGAGGGACGAAGCCACUCGGGUUAAUAGCCCAGAGGGUGACGGUACUUCCAGAAGAAGCCCCGGCUAACUACGUGCCAGCAGCCGCGGUAAUACGUAGGGGGCUAGCGUUGUCCGGAUUUAUUGGGCGUAAAGCGCGUGUAGGCGGCCGGCUAGGUCUGGUGUGAAAACUCGAGGCUCAACCUCGAGAUGUCGCCGGAAACCAGUCGGCUAGAGUCCGGAAGAGGAGAGUGGAAUUCCUGGUGUAGCGGUGAAAUGCGCAGAUAUCAGGAAGAACACCUAUGGCGAAAGCAGCUCUCUGGGACGGUACUGACGCUGAGACGCGAAAGCGUGGGGAGCGAACAGGAUUAGAUACCCUGGUA